rnacentral:ncRNA from 2 species
CGUCUUUGCGCGGGAGAGUUCCGUGGCAGCCAGCCGCGGGCGCCGAAGGAGCAACACCUCUCCGUCAACCUCUCAGGCACCCGGACCGCACGAAGCCC